rnacentral:rRNA from 1 species
GACGAACGCUGGCGGCGUGCUUAACACAUGCAAGUCGAACGGAAAGGCCUGCUUUCCCUUGUGGCUUGCGGGUACUCGAGUGGCGAACGGGUGCGUAACCCGUGAGUGAUCUGCCCCCACCUUGGGUAUAAGCCUGGGAAACUGGGUCUAAUUCCCGAUAGGACUGCAGGGUGGUGCCUGUGGUGGAAAACGAUUUUCUAGUGGUUGGGGAUGAGCUCGCGGCCUAUCAGCUUGUUGGUGUGGUAAUGUCCUACCAAGGCGGCGACGGGUAGCCGGCCUGAGAGGGUGGACGGGCACAUUCAGACUGAGAUACGGCCCAGACGACUAGCAGAGGGAGCAGAGGGGACUAUUGCACACUAAGCGGAAGCGUGAGACAGCGACGCAGAGUGGAGGAUGACGGCCAGCGGGUAGUAAGCUCCUUGCGAACGCGAAGAAGCCACCUGGAUGGAAGGGUGGUGACGGUAGUGGUAGAAGAAGCAACGGCUAACUAAGUG